rnacentral:rRNA from 1 species
AUUGAACGCUGGCGGCAGGCUUAACACAUGCAAGUCGAGCGGGGGAAGGUAGCUUGCUACCGGACCUAGCGGCGGACGGGUGAGUAAUGCUUAGGAAUCUGCCUAUUAGUGGGGGACAACAUCUCGAAAGGGAUGCUAAUACCGCAUACGUCCUACGGGAGAAAGCAGGGGAUCUUCGGACCUUGCGCUAAUAGAUGAGCCUAAGUCGGAUUAGCUAGUUGGUGGGGUAAAGGCCUACCAAGGCGACGAUCUGUAGCGGGUCUGAGAGGAUGAACCGCUACACUGGGACUGGAACACGGCCCAGACUCCUACGGGAGGCAGCAGUGGGGAAUAUUGGACAAUGGGGGGAACCCUGAUCCAGCCAUGACGCGUGUGUGAAGAAGGCCUUAUGGUUGUAAAGCACUUUAAGCGAGGAGGAGGCUACUCUAGUUAAUACCUAGGGAUAGUGGACGUUACUCGCAGAAUAAGCACCGGCUAACUCUGUGCCAGCCGCCGCGGUAA